AUCUGUUCUUAUCAGUUUAAUAUCUGAUACGUCCCCUAUCCGGGGACCAUAUAUUAAAUUGAUUUUUGGAGCAGGGAGAUGGAAUAGGGGCUUGCUCCGUCCACUCCACGCAUCGACCUGGUAUUGCAGUAUUUCUAGGAACGGUGC
ensembl:snRNA U2 U2 spliceosomal RNA